UACGGAGGAUGCAAGCGUUAUCCGGAUUUAUUGGGUUUAAAGGGUGCGUAGGCGGGAUUGUAAGUCAGUGGUGAAAUCUUGCAGCUUAACUGUAAAAUAGCCAUUGAUACUGCAGUUCUUGAGUACAAUUGAGGUAGGCGGAAUGUGUAAUGUAGCGGUGAAAUGCUUAGAUAUUACACAGAACACCGAUUGCGUAGGCAGCUUACUAAGUUGUAACUGACGCUGAGGCACGAAAGCGUGGGUAGCGAACAGG
rnacentral:rRNA from 1 species